rnacentral:lncRNA from 1 species
UCAUGCCGUCUACGCAGUAAGUCUACGUGUUGUAGGCCCUGCAUGCAGCAGGAUAGGCCAGCGCACCUGCAGGCUAGGCCUACAGUGUGCGACCAACUUGGGGAGUCGCGCUGCUACCUCAGGCAAUGUGCCACUGCCCUUUGGGCAUCAUGCGUCACCUUGGGAGAUGUGCUACCACUUCCUUAGGCGGUGAGCCAUCGCCAGUUGGGAUUUUUUCCUCUGUUUUUUUCGUCGCUAUUGCAUCGCAUCACAUCACUCUUUUUCCACUCAACUUUCUCUCUCCUCACCAGAUUUCGCCACUUGGUGCAAAUCUAAUGAUUCUCAUUUUCUAUAAAUAGGGACCCCUCUCUUCCAUUUUUUCUCAUCACUUUCAUUUUAUUCUUCCAUCCUCCAAAAGCUUAUAGAGAGAGGGAGUGGUCUAAAGAGAGAAGGAAAG